GCCAAUGUAGCUCAGUUGGUAGAGCAGCUCACUCGUAAUGAGCAGGUCAGCGGUUCGAGUCCGCUCAUUGGCUCCA
rnacentral:tRNA from 1 species